UAUAAAUGUAAAAUAAAUUAUUAAAAGAUUAAUAGUUAUGAUCUUUAAAUUUAAAAAAUUUGGCGGUAUUUUAGUCUAUUUAGAGGAACCUGUUCUAUAAUUGAUAGUCCACGAUUAGAUUUACUUAAUUUAAUAAGCUUGUAUAUCGUUGUUUAAAAGAUUUUAUAAGAAAAAAAAUUUUUUAUAAAUUAUAUUAAAUUAUUAAUCAAAUCAAGGUGCAGUUUAUAUUUAAGAAGAAAUGGGUUACAAUAAAUUUUAUUUAUAUGAAUUAAUUUGUAUUUAAAGAUAUUUAUGAAGGUGGAUUUAAAAGUAAUUUUAAUAAUUUAAUUAAAAUGAUUUUAGCUCUAAAAUAUGU
rnacentral:rRNA from 1 species